AAAACAUUUUGGGGCAAAAUGGGCAUUUUGCCACAAAAAUCCUUUUUUGCAAAGACUUUUUUAAAAAUGUGAGUUCAUUUAACUGUUAUAAUUUUAAAAUUACAGAUCAAGGAUGGAUUUGGAUUCUUUGUCACAGGUUGGUAAACAGUCACAUCUAGCUCAUUUCCCAUCAUUUAAGAAACACUGUCUGAUGGUCUAUUAUAUCCUGUAAGAGGAACUAGGGAAAUAGUGUAUACUGCAAACCAAGUCCUAUCAAUGACAUUUACAUUGUAGGGUUGGGGGGAGAGAGAAAAAAUAAUAAUUAGGUGUCCAGAGCAUUUUUAAUCUCGACUCUGGUUCAUCUCUGAUAGACCCAAGGGCCAUUUUCAAAGUUUUGUUAUUGAACUGGAAUGCAGCCAGAGUAAUUGCCAUGCGAGCAAGCCCUCUACUUUUUAAGGAGACCAAAUCACACAUACUUUGUGAUGGAUGCUGUGAUGCACCACCUGGGUGGCCCUUCCAUAAAGAUUCGUCUCAGCUGCUAGACCUAGCACCUUCAUGGACCACACUCUGGUGAGAAGAGCAUCCUUAUCCAAGGUCAUCUACCUCCUGUGGAAGUCUACAUCCAGUAAGUGAUUGAUGCGGGGAUAUAACUUGGCCCAUCUUUGGGACGUUCAAUGGCCAUUCUAGCUCCAGAGCUCCCUGAGAGUCAAAAAAAGUCAGCAUUGAGCAUAAGUCAAAGCUUGAUUCCUUUUGCUUACAACUACUUUCUCUCUCUCUCUCUCUGUUCUACAGAUAUUGUUCCAAAGGACUAUCUUUAAGAAAAUAUCCAGCAACCAACCUUUGUGUCUGAAUCUACUGGGGCUGCUUCCUGAGAAAUUUAACCUCUUGCAUUCAUGCAUACAAAUACACAUACACCAUCAUCAUUAUUAAAGAUAUUUUGUUAUAAGAAGUACAUAUUAUUAAACAGUAUAAUAAUAGAGGAAGAAUAUUAUAUUCACUAGUGAUUUCAUAAUUAUUCUAACUCCUGUUCUUGGACAUUAAUAGUAUUUCUAAUUCUUGCUAUUUUAUAUAUCACAUCACAAAAUACCCUUAUUCACAGUUAUUUUUGCAUGUAUGUAAUAUAUCUGUAGGAUAAAUUUUCAAGAGUGAAAUUACUAGGUAAAAGGAGAUGUGUAUUUUAAAAACAUUUUGAUAUUACUGCCACAUUGCCUGUUGAAAAAGCAUAUACCGAUACAUACCACCACCAGCAGGGGAAGUGAAAAUCUAUGUCAAAGCACUUUUACUAACAUUGAUGAUUAAAAUGUUUUUUUCUUAUUAUUCA
rnacentral:lncRNA from 1 species